rnacentral:piRNA from 2 species
AUUUCCGUGGAGAGGAACAAAUCUGAGU